ACUAGGUUAAAUGGGAAGGCCUCCAUAUUUGAUCCAAAUUGUUUCUUCCCCUUUCACAUACAGGGCAGCAAGGACAUUGUGCGCCCUCCAGUUUGGUCAAAUUAGCAUUUUGUCUUAUGGAAUUCUCAAUGAUUUCGAUGCAGUGCAGUUCUUUCUUUCUGAUUGUUCAAUCUUGCUGUUCAAAACUAAUGUACUGUUAUAGUAAGAUGACAAAGAACCUUAAUGGUAUUCCUAAGUUUUAUGUCCACAUGGUGAUUGCAUUGAUUAAAUGAAAGUAAGGUUGAUUGUAUGAGAAUAAAAUUCAUAGUGUCCUUCUAUUCCAUUCUAAAUACAAGCCCAAUCUCAGCUCUCUAUCACCUCGGUGUUAUGAUCUUGGGCUUAGCGUUCUUCAAAGAUUUUGUUCCUCAGAGGCCACAAGUGGAGAGGGGAAGAAGCUUCCAGUUGACUGAGGAAGAUUUGUUUCGUGCUUCCCGAGCUGUGCUUCAUGCGACACGCACGUGUAUAAAAAAUAUUUAUAAUAUAAAAAUUAUAAUCAGUUUUGAUAAGACCCAUUUUGUAUUGCGUGCUACAGCCCUUGACAAAGCAACAUACAGUUGUCCAGGGCAUCUCUCUGACAUUUCCUCGUCUGGUGUGAUUAUGGGAUGAUAAAAGCCCAGAACAGGCGACCACUUCUGAGCAAGUUGCUGACAUGUACCGUGCUCAAAAAAUCAACCAUGGUUAUAACCAGGAGGAUGAGGACCUAUGCCGGUUCACUGGAUUGCCU